rnacentral:misc_RNA from 1 species
UCUCUACUUGCGUAGGCAGUCUCACUAGAGUCCUCAACUGAAUGUUAGCAACUAGUGACAGGGGUUGCGCUCGUUGCAGGACUUAACCUAACACCUCACGGCACGAGCUGACGACAACCAUGCAGCACCUUGAAAAUUGCCCGAAGGAAGGUCUAUUUCUAAACCGGUCAAUUCCCAUUUAAGCCUUGGUAAGGUUCCUCGCGUAUCAUCGAAUUAAACCACAUAAUCCACCGCUUGUGCGGGCCCCCGUCAAUUCCUUUGAGUUUCAAACUUGCGUUCGUACUCCCCAGGUGGCUAACUUAUCACUUUCGCUUAGUCUCUGAAGCCGAAGCCCCAAAAACGAGUUAGCAUCGUUUACGGCGUGGACUAC